rnacentral:rRNA from 1 species
UACGUAGGCAGCGAGCGUUGUUCGGAAUUACUGGGCGUAAAGAGUGUGUAGGCGGUGUUCCCAGUCUGUUGUGAAAUCUCCCGGCUUAACUGGGAGGGUGCAGCGGAAACUAGAAUGCUAGAGGGUGGGAGAGGUAAGCGGAAUUCCUGGUGUAGCGGUGAAAUGCGUAGAGAUCCGGAAGAACACCGGUGGCGAAGGCGGUGAGCUGGGCAAUUGCUGACACUGAGGCGCGACAGCGUGGGGAGCAAACAGG